AGUGGUGGAUAAUCUUGGGCGGAAGUUGAGCUGUCUGCUCACGAACGCUGCAGGCCCUAGAAGAACACGGUUAUUUUCUGAAAACAAACAGUUUAUUUCGGGAUUAACGUUGCAGUUCAGUAGUUAAGAAGUUAUGAAGUUAGUUGAAGUGUAAAGAAAUCCGUUAAAUUACUGUAGUUUGACACGUCAAUCGCACCCGUCUUGUAUCGUAAUCAGACAGCUUCACCUCUCGAUUUAUAUAACGUGGCCCAAAGAGGGGGCAUAUCUGAAGCUGCGACAUGGUGAGACCACGUACAGGAUCACCUCGGAUGAAGCACAGAUCCUACAUGAGUGACUACGGUCCUCAGAAUGGUGGAGAACAACCCCGGCCCUUCCGUAGUGGUAGAGGGGGCGGUCCUGGAAAGGCUCCUCCCAGUUGGAGAGAGGCCCCUAAUAGGGGCCGCAAAGCCCCCUACCCAGACAGACCGUCAGCGCCAUGGCAACAGAAGAGCCCCCAGGGCCGGGACCGUGGACAGUCUUCCUGGCAGUCCAAGAACCAGGAGAGUUACAUGGGAUACGCUUCCCAGCCCUCCGACAGCCACCGUCACUAUGGAGACCCAGCACACAGGCCAGGCCCUGCCCAACGCAGACCUUCGCCCCACGAACCCGUCUCGGGUCGAUCACACCACAGGCAGUAUGACGGAGGACCUCGAAGGUUUGAGUCCCGUCCCCCGAUUCCAGACCACCGGAGCCACAAGCAGGUCCAUCCACAGCCCCCCCAUCACAGGAGUCCCUUCCGGCCCCCUGCCAGACAGGAGGAGCGGCCCUGGGGCAGGUCCCAGUCUCCCAGCUACCCCUCCCGGCCUCCGCCCAAACCCCAGCAUGUCAGCCAGGCAGGAGACAGAGGCCGUGGCAGGGGCAGGGGUCGGCGAGGCCGUGGUUCUGGAAACGGCUGUGGUAGGGAGACUUUCUGGGGUGAGAGAGGCCCAGACAGGGGCCACCCCUACACCAGCACGAGACCCCACCACCCUCAGCCCCGGAAUGGCGAGGGCCGUUGUCCGUCUGACUCCCCCUUGAGAAAAGAGCGAGAUUUUCACAGCCGAGAGAGGUGGUCUUCAUCCACUGGAAGGGAUUGCAACGAGAGGAGAAGCCGAGAGAGGGAGCGGAUGGGGUCAGGCCGCCAUGGUAACGAGCCAGAGCACUGGCCGCCCCCUAACCCCUCUCAGUACAGGCCCCCACCACACACGCCCUCAUGGAAAGCUGGACCACCUCCUGGGCCUCAUCCCUCAAAGCCAUCAGCUGCACGGAGAUUCCAGAACCACCAGCCCCCGAGAGGCCCUGACCGAGGAAGCUCUGGCUACAAGCGGAAGUAUCCAGAAAUCCUGGAACAGCCACGCCUACCCCCACCUCUUUUCAAGCAUUUUCGACGGGAGCCAUCAGUGGCCCCUCCUCCCAGAGGCUUUGGGGGGCGUGGCUUGUCUUUACGUGACAAGAGCCGUCUGCUGAAAAACCGGAAAUUCCGUGAGGAGUCCGUUGCCCGUUUUAGGAUGAUGCCCCCUCCUCCUCCCCCUUCCACAAGAGGGCGCCCUGGCCCAUUCCAGAACCGCAUGCCCUACAGACCGCCGUUUCCCCGGCACCAGACAGCAGGAGGACAUCAUGAGGCUGCCCCAGAGAGGAAGUUUCCCAAAAGAUCAAGCCCUUCCAGGAAAUCCAGCUCCGAUCACAGCCCAGACCCUGAGAACCCUGUGUCUGAUGGCGAUCAAGAUCAGCACAGAUCACCCCAAUACCGGCGAUCCUCCAGCCGGCACAGGUAUGGUAUCCCUCCCUACCCUCCACCUUAACAGCUAACAGACCACACCUUUGGCCUUGUUCCAAAUCCUACCGAUGGCCACAUCAUGCUAAUAGGCUCCUGUUCUGCUAUCUGAGUAUCUAAUUACCGGCCUACGGCAAACAACAAAAGUGCUGGCUACUGUUAAGUGUCAGAGACGUCGCCGUUUACAGCUGUAAGAGGCUGGUGAAGUAAAGGGACGAAAACUGAGUAAUGAGAAAAACAGACCAGAUUUUUUUGAGCGAUAAGUGGUGAAGCAUGGUGAUAACCAGCAGAUUUGAAGAGGGAGAGAGAUCACUCGUUUCACCCCAACCCAGAAGUCGAUCUACAGGGUCAUCAGCAGAUUUCAUCCAGGAAUGCCUUUCUCCAACUGAGAUCAGGGUGAAUUGUUUGAUCCUGCAUACACACAAUGUAUCAAUCACACUCCGGUGACUGCAAGCUCAGAAGCUGUUCUAUGUACCCGUGUGACAAACUCCGGGACUGGGAUGUGGUCACCAGUGUCACUGAAAUUCUGAUGUUGCCUGUUCAUCUGUUAAGUAACUGCGUGAGAUGCUAUCGAAAGACUCCCCACCCAGUGGCCCCCACCCAACCUCAACACCGUCCGAGCUUUGGAGGACAUUGGCUGUCAAGAUUGCAAGGAAAGAAAGUAUAUCAACGGAUGAAGAAUCUGAAGAACCAAUUCAGUGGCGUUGAGAAUUAAGUUCGGUCUUCAACUACACCUGUAAGAAGUUCAAGAACAGCACUAGGCUUUGGUUAGGCUAUUGGACCUCUACACCUGGAAAACUGCCCCUGUCAUUCAGUCAGAAUGGUGGCGCCAGUUAGAAGUACCAAGAACACUUGGCUAUUUUUUGACUGUGAGGUACCCUUCGUCAUAAUGUAGCUUAACACCUGACUAUCCCUUUGCCAUGUUGUAACUUAACACCUGGCCGACCAUUAAGCCCCCUUUGCCAUAUUAAUAUAUCUGAACAGCUGAAACAUGAAAAUUGAAUCGAGCAAAAGCUGCAUGCAAGAUGGUUCUCGAAGUCUGAAGACUAUAUGAUCCAAUUCUACCUCAGUGGCUCGGAUGUUCUGCAGCAAGCCCUGAUGGACCCCACUGAUACCCAAAGUCAAUAGCAUUGGUAUUUUCAGUACAUCUGAUUCAUGACUUGUGAUUUUUUUGCUGAGUAAAGUACAGUAGCAAGAAGAUCACUGUGGGCCACUGUAGACAUGUGUCAUGUAAUAUAAUGUACUACCAAGACCAAGUUUCAGUACGGCUGGUAUUUUAUGAACAGAUAGAGGAAUUGAAUACGUGCCAUUCCAUUUAAGCCCACCUGUCUCCUUCUGAUUGUGCUAAAUUAGCAUAAGGCGCCUUCUCUAUUCAGAAAAGGGGAAGGCCCAUGCAGAAAAUUGCCUAUUGCAUAUCUGUACCAGAAGAACCUGUGAAGACUGAAGAAUUAAACUUCUUCCACCUCACACACCUGAUCUGGUGCCACCACAUUUUCUGAAUCUGUCGUUUCUGCUACUCAAGUAACUGUGACCAUUUCGACUGUGGAUCCUCACCUGCUCCUGUGUCUUCAAGCAAUCAAUCCAAGAUGGCACUUACACCAAAUGCCAAGAUUGAAGUUGACCAGAGUGCUGUGAAACAGACCACUUCAUUUAACUUCAUAUCAGUAGAACAAAGUGGUUAGAAGCUAAUGAAGAUUUUAAUCAAACUCAUGCUGGCAGAGAAUUGCAUGGAGGCCUUACAUGGAGAACCUUGCAGAGAGUGAAGUCAAGACUCACUACACAAUGGGCAAAUCAGAAUCCAGAUGAUCAGUAACCUAGACAAUGGGUAAAUGAGAACAUCAUCAAGUUAUCCCGUGUAGCAACUCCAAAAUAAACGGUAAAUCAGAACCUAGACAAUGGGUAAAUCCGAACAUCAUCAACGUAUCCCAUGUAGCGACUACCAAACAAACGGUAAAUCAGAACCGAGACAAAUCCGAACAUCAUCAACGUAUCCCGUGUAGCGACUACCAAACAAACGGUAAAUCAGAACCGAGACAAAUCCGAACAUCAUCAACGUAUCCCGUGUAGCGACUACCAAACAAACGGUAAAUCAGAACCGAGACAAAUCCGAAAAUCAUCAACGUAUCCCGUGUAGCGACUACCAAACAAACGGUAAAUCAGAACCGAGACAAUGGGUAAAUCAUCAAGGUAUCGCAUGAAAUGACACCCAGACAACGGGUGAAUCAGAACCUAGACAGUGAGUGGGUAAAUCAAAAAGUCAUCAGUGUAACCCAUGCAGCUACUAUCAGGUGAUGAAGAAAUCAGAACAUCAACAAUGUUUCCCAUGCAGGGACAUGAAGUCUUCUGAAGGGACAUCUGCCUUGGGAGUCAAGAUUUUAUGAUCCCUUUCGCUACGAGGCAUAUUGAGAAUGGACUAACUCAGAGUUACGGUUACUGCCCUAUACAAACGGCACAACACCCUGUUGGCCAGGAUAUAUGUUUAAAGUACCAUUGAGAUGAAGUACCUGCAAGUUUAACCAAAAAUCGGAGGAUGAAGUUUCUUGUCCCCAAUCUGACCACUGCCUCUCUGAAGGAACAAGAGAAACGAUGGAUGGAUGGAUAAGGAAUAGGCUAGUUUGGAACCAGCUCACCACCCAAUAACCCUACCUUGCCCGAAGGUGUCUAGUCAGACAUACAAAAGUCCCAGAGGUCUUUGAAAGCUAGAUAACUCGCAAGAUGCAUUUUUCCUGAAAAAAGGGAUCGAUUAAGUUCAUCUGCCUUGGCUACAUUUUUUUUGCAAGACCAGAGGUUACUCACAAAAACACACAACCUUGACAGCCCCUCCCCCCUUUGAUGUACUGUCAUAAUGAUACAGAGCUUGGAGUUUGGAGUUGUUUGGUCCCAAUCCCAUUGGAUCAGCAUCUUCCGAGUGAUCUGGUGGUGGUGUCGCAUUGGCAAGCUGAGAAUGACGGGGAUUGCGAUGACCAGGGAGACGCUAAAGAGACUUCGGAUAUGCAGAGUGACCUCAUCAGUGCUCCA